rnacentral:rRNA from 1 species
UACGAAGGGUGCAAACGUUGCUCGGAAUUAUCGGGCGUAAAGCGCACGUAGGCGGCUUGGCAAGUCGGAUGUGAAAUCCCUCGGCUCAACCAAGGAAGUGCAUCCGAAACUGCCGAGCUUGAGUACUUAAGAGGAUCGCGGAAUUCCCGGUGUAGAGGUGAAAUUCGUAGAUAUCGGGAGGAACACCAGUGGCGAAGGCGGCGAUCUGGGAAGAUACUGACGCUGAGGUGCGAAAGCGUGGGGAGCAAACAGG